ensembl:lncRNA
AUGAGCUGGGUCUGCCUGCGCACGAGCUCGCAAGCUGUCUACCUCCUCCUGAAUGUAUGCCUCGAAAAUCGGUACCUGCGCCGGGGUGAGGCACGCCCGUGCACACUGUCGCCAAUCGAAAAUCAGCGGGCCACUAAGACUAAUAGCGUCCAACAGGACCUGCGCCUGCGAUCCGAUGCAUGUUCUGGAAAUGCCAGACAGAGGAAAUUUACUUCAGUCAUUAUAGGGAAGUGAUUUGGAUCCUAAUGCGAGCAGAUGGAAAAUGCUGGAUAUUUCAGUUGACAAAGAAAAUUAUAAUCUUCUGGGAUGUAUCCUUUAUAUUCAGAGAUAAAUAGGGAAAAGAGUUAAGAAUACCCCAAACCAGCUUCAGUACCUGUAUAGAGGAGAGUCUAGCACACAAGUGUCUUAGUUUCAGCUGGGGUGGAAUUCUUUUCUUCAGAGUGCCUGGUAUGAUGCUGUGUUUUGGUUCUAGGGGUGUCAACGGUUUACGGGCAUUAGGCCCGAUUCCAUGACGAAGGGGACGGGGAACCCACAGGCCCACAUCCCGGGAAAAGGGGAAAGGGGAAAAGGGUAGGGAGAUGGACCAGAGAGCAAAGAACAGCGGCAACAAUCUGAGGAGAAACAAACUAAUUUACUAAAUAAGAUAUCGGAAUGCAAAACAACACACUCAUGUACAAUAUAAUUACAAUUUAAGCUGAUAAAUCCAAUACAGAGAGAGAAUGUCCCAAAAAAUCAAGGUAGGCCUUACUCUACUACCGACGAUAAGACGGCUGGAGAGUGAGGUGCUGCCAAGACGAGAGAUGGGCGGAAAAAGGGACGAGGUCUCGUGAUCUGCAAGUUUUUAUACUGUGAGCUUUUAUCUUUUCCCUCCGGCUGGAAAAUGGUAACAGAGGAGCAAAGUACCGUGGGGAAUGUAGUAGUCCUUCUCUUCUGAGAACCAGGUACAUUCACUACAUGAUGUUAUGAUGUGGAAUACCAAUAACCGAAAAUCACAAAACCAUGACAAGGGGAAAAACAAUGCUGAUAACACACUGAUGUUUAUGGCUGCUGCUAAGCAGUGCUGCACAGAGCCAAGGCCAUUCACAGUGAAGGGCACAAGGAGCUGGGAAGGAAGAGUAAGGACAGCUGACUUACACUGGCCAAAGGGAUAUUCCAUGCCACAUGACAUCAAGCGGAAGGGAUUUUGAAGGGGGUGGGAGUGCAUCUCACUCUCUUCCACUGCGCAGGGACUAGGUAGACAUCAGUUUUGGGUGUUGAGCAAUUGCUUGUGCAUCAUCUGUUAUAUACAUAGAUAUUAGUCAUAAUUGUUAUCUUUUUCAUUUUCUCUAUCUUAGUAAAUACUUUGAUAUCAGUCCAUGAGUUCUACUUUUUUUUCUUUUUCCAAUUCUCUCCCCCAUCCCACUGGGAAAAGUGAGUGAACAACUGUGUGGAGCUCAGCACCUGCCAGGUUAAACCACAACACUCCACAACACUUGUCUUCCAAGGUUUUGUACUAGAUGAGCUAGUUGACUGUUUUAUUUUAUUUUAUUUGAAUUUGAAGUAAUAUUCUGGAAGAAAUGAUAACCUGGAUUUUUCAAGGUUGCUGAAAAUAUAGCAUAAUUUGAACAAUUGGAUUUUAAACAUGAAAUGAUCAUGUAUUUGUCCCACUUAUGCAAGCAUUAGAAAGCUUGCUAAAUUUGUCGUGUUUAAAUUUAAAAUGGUGGCUUAGAAAAAAUAUACGUAAAAAUGGAAAUGUUCAUGAUCCCACAUAUGCUCCCCUUGAUGCACGAAAGUUUUAUCUAAUUUUGCACAAACUUCAGCUACAGUUUGAUUCUUUUUCAUGCAACCCUCAACUCUCUUAUCCGUAAUGUUGAGUGAUUAAUGAUUGAAAUGUUAUUUAAAUUACUGACCCUUUCUCUGUCAGAAUUUAUAACUCACUCAUGGAGAGUAAAACUGAACAAUCUGUUCUUUUUUCUUUCUUUCAAAAAGUGCUAAAAUUUCUGAUAUUUCUGUUCCCCGCUACAAGGGUGACAUCCUCCCUACCAGUAAAACAACUGGGAUGUCUCAGUGGAAUUGAUAGUGUAAAGAUUUGCCCCUGGCAGAUAAACAGUGUUGAAUAAACUGGAUGUGACAGUAUUAACA